GAUGAACGCUGGCGGCGUGCUUAACACAUGCAAGUCGAACGGAAAGGCUCCUGCUUGCAGGGGUACUCGAGUGGCGAACGGGUGAGUAACACGUGGGUGAUCUGCCCUGCACUUCGGGAUAAGCCUUGGAAACUGGGUCUAAUACUGGAUAGGACGACGGUUUGGAUGCCAUUGUGGACAGUUUUUCGGUGUGGGAUGAGCUCGCGGCCUAUCAGCUUGUUGGGGGGGUAAUGGCCUACCAAGGCGUCGACGGGUAGCCGGCCUGGGAGGGGGUACGGCCACAUUGGGACUGAGAUACGGCCCAGACUCCUACGGGAGGCAGCAGUGGGGAAUAUUGCACAAUGGGCGCAAGCCUGAUGCAGCGGCGCCGCGUGGGGGAUGACGGCCUUCGGGUUGUAAACUCCUUUCGCUUGGGACGAAGCGCAAGUGACGGUACCUGGAGAAGAAGCACCGGCUAACUACGUG
rnacentral:rRNA from 1 species